UGAGGGAUAUUGCACAAUGGGGGAAACCCUGAUGCAGCGACGCCGCGUGGGUGAUGACGGUCUUCGGAUUGUAAAACCCUUUUGCCACUGACGAGAACGGACGGUAGGUGGCGAAUAAGCCUCGGCUAACUACGUGCCAGCAGCCGCGGUAAAACGUAGGAGGCAAGCGUUAUCCGGAGUUACUGGGCGUAAAGCGUGCGUAGGCGGUUUGUAAGUGGGACGUGAAAGCUCCGGGCUAAACCUGGAGAGGACGACUCAGACUGCGAGACUAGAGCGGCUCAGAGGCGCGUGGAAUUCGGGGUGUAGCGGUGAAAUGUGUAGAGAUCCCGAGGAACACCGAGUGGGGCAACCGGCGCGCUGGGAGCAGGCUGACGCUGAGGCACGAAAGCGUGGGAGCAAA
rnacentral:rRNA from 1 species